GUACUGUGGGACUAGAUACUGUGGGACUAGAUACCAUGGGACUAGAUACCAUGGGACUAGAUACUGUUGGACUAGAUACUGUGGGAAAGAUACCAUUGGACUAGAUACUGUUGGACUAGGUACUGUGGGACUAGAUACUGUGGGACUAGAUACUGUUGGACUAGAUACUGUGGGACUAGAUACUGUGGGACUAGAUACCAUGAGACUAGAUACCAUGGGACUAUAUACUGUGGGACUAGAUACCAUGGGACGAGAUACUGUUGGACUAGAUACUGUGGGAAAGAUACCAUUGGACUAGAUACUGUUGGACUAGAUACCGUGGGACUAGAUACUGUGGGACUAGGUACUGUGAGACUCAUUAUCAUGGGACUAGAUAAUGUGGGACUCAUUAUCAUGGGACUAGAUACUGUGGGACUAGGUGCUGUGGGACUUAUUACCAUGCGACUAGGUACUGUGGGACUAG
ensembl:lncRNA